rnacentral:misc_RNA from 1 species
AAAAGUGAAUUGUUUCAUCAAUCAAUUUCAAAGAGUUCUAUUGGGAUCGAACCUCCCAAUUCAUAACUCUGCUAAUUUUGGGAAUUUAUUUGUGCAAGUAUAAAGAAAUAACUCAAAUGGAUUCUGCUACCAUAGCUAGCACAAUUACAUUCGCAGCAGUAAAUAAUCAUUUGAAGAAAACCUUGUCAAUUUACUGAAUUGAUUUGGCUAUGUG